rnacentral:rRNA from 1 species
AGUGGGGGAUAACAUUCGGAAACGAAUGCUAAUACCGCAUAUCUUUUUGAACCGCAUGGUUCUUAAACGAAAGAACGGCUUCGGCUGUCGCUCUUAGAUGAUCCCGCGGCGUAUUAGUUAGUUGGUGGGGUAAAGGCCUACCAAGACCAUGAUACGUAGCCGACCUGAGAGGGUGAUCGGCCACACUGGGACUGAGACACGGCCCAGACUCCUACGGGAGGCAGCAGUAGGGAAUCUUCCACAAUGGGUGAAAACCUGAUGGAGCAAUGCCGCGUGAAUGAAGAAGGUCUUCGGAUCGUAAAGUUCUGUUAUUAGAGAAGAACGAGUCAAGGAGUAACUGUCUUGACUUUGACGGUACCUAACCAGAAAGUCACGGCUAACUACGUG